rnacentral:rRNA from 1 species
AGUGAACGCUGGCGGCGUGCUUAACACAUGCAAGUCGAACGAGAACGGAAUAUAGCUUGCUAUAUUUGUCAGCUAAGUGGCGCACGGGUGAGUAAUGUAUAGAUAACCUGCCCUUAAGAAAGGAAUAACAGUUGGAAACGACUGCUAAUGCCCUAUAUGCCUUUAAUACAUAAGUAUGCAAGGGAAACGCUUUAGUGCUUAAGGAUGGGUCUGUAUGGUAUCAGCUUGUUGGUGAGGUAAUGGCUCACCAAGGCUAUGACACCUAACUGGUUUGAGAGGAUGAUCAGUCACACUGGAACUGAGACACGGUCCAGACUCCUACGGGAGGCAGCAGUGGGGAAUAUUGCACAAUGGACGAAAGUCUGAUGCAGCAACGCCGCGUGGAGGAUGACACAUUUCGGUGCGUAAACUCCUUUUAUACAGGAGGAUAAUGACGGUACUAUAUGAAUAAGCACCGGCUAACUCCGUGCCAGCAGCCGCCGUAA